CUAUUUAUCUGGCAGGGGAAAUACCACGAUCAAGAAGGUAUCCCCAGGGCGAGGCUCUUCCAUUGCACACUUCGGUUGGGUUGACCCCUGUGAUUUCCCCAAAUGUGGGAAACUCAACUGCAUAAUUUAUGGUAGUGGGGGACUGCGUUCGCGCACUUCCCUC